rnacentral:rRNA from 1 species
UACGGGGGGGGCAAGCGUUGUUCGGAAUUACUGGGCGUAAAGGGCUCGUAGGUGGCCAACUAAGUCAGACGUGAAAUCCCUCGGCUUAACCGGGGAACUGCGUCUGAUACUGGAUGGCUUGAGUUUGGGAGAGGGAUGCGGAAUUCCAGGUGUAGCGGUGAAAUGCGUAGAGAUCCGGAGGAAGACCGGUGGCGAAGGCGGCCUGCUGGGCAGUUACUGACACUGAGGCGCGACAGCGUGGGGAGCAAACAGGG